UCCACGGGCAGUGUGGACCUCCCCUUUCUCACUUAGAGGUCACGUAACUCACCCCACAUCAUCAUACAGGGGUGUCACAGUCCAGUGUCAUGACUCAGGGCUUCCGUGACCGACAGCAGAACAGGGAUGCCCUCAGGGUGAAGCUUGUGGGUUCCUGUGCUGUGACUCAGUGUCCUGGGGGAUCGCCAGGAGGCAGAAAGACAAUGUCAUCCUGGGAGGAUUUUCCCACACCCACUUCCACCUGGGGAUACUCCUUGGGACAGAGCUGCCCCCGCAACUCCAGGCAGGACUUCUGGGACACUUUCAGCAAACACUGGACCUCGCCAGAGUCUGGUGGGAAGAGGUGAAUGAGACUGGUUUCAGCUGACCCGAGUCUAUGGGCUAAAUCAAGGAUGGGGGCCAUGGAGAGCAAGGAUGCUGGAAGGACCAAAAGGAAUGAUGAUGUGAAGAUCCAAGUGCUGUGCCAGGCACAAAGAAGAAACUGAACAGUCACUAUUGCUGGGCACAGUACAGCAUACCUACAAUCCCAGCUACUCGGGAGGCUGAAGCAGGAGGAUGACAAGUUUAAGUUUAUCCCCAGUGCAAGAACAGUGCCUGGUACACAGCAGGUACUCGAGCGCUGAACAAACCCUGACUGCCGUGUGACUGGACAACCAC